rnacentral:rRNA from 1 species
GACGAACGCUGGCGGCGUGCUUAACACAUGCAAGUCGAGCGGUAAGGCCCUUUCGGGGGUACACGAGCGGCGAACGGGUGAGUAACACGUGGGUGACCUGCCCUUAGCUCUGGGAUAAGCCUGGGAAACUGGGUCUAAUACCGGAUAUGACUCCAUGACGCAUGUUGUGGGGUGGAAAGCCUUGUGCGGCUAGGGAUGGGCCCGCGGCCUAUCAGCUUGUUGGUGGGGUGAUGGCCUACCAAGGCGACGACGGGUAGCCGGCCUGAGAGGGCGACCGGCCACACUGGGACUGAGACACGGCCCAGACUCCUACGGGAGGCAGCAGUGGGGAAUCUUGCGCAAUGGGCGAAAGCCUGACGCAGCGACGCCGCGUGGGGAUGACGGCCUCGGUUGUAACCGUA